rnacentral:rRNA from 1 species
AUUGAACGCUGGCGGCAGGCUUAACACAUGCAAGUCGAACGAGUGGCGGACGGGUGAGUAAUGCCUGGGAAUCUGCCUUAUGGAGGGGGAUAACUACUGGAAACGGUAGCUAAUACCGCGUACCAUCGGAUGUGCCCAUGUGGGAUUAGCUUGUUGGUGAGGUAAAGGCUCACCAAGCCGACGAUCCCUAGCUGGUCUGAGAGGAUGACCAGCCACACUGGAACUGAGACACGGUCCAGACUCCUACGGGAGGCAGCAGUGGGGAAGAGUGAGCAAUGGGAGCAAGCCUGACGCAGCCAUGCCGCGUGAAUGAAGAAGGCCUUCGGGUUGUAAAGUACUUUCAGUGGGGAGGCGUUAACCGCAGAAGAAGCACCGGCUAACUCCGUGCCAGCAGCCGCGGUAAUUC